AAACAGACAUUGAAAACACUUCGCAAUAACUAUUUCACUGCAGAAAUUUGUGGUACUUUGGAAAUCACAUAAUGGCAAGAAUGAGUAUAUAAACAAAACGGUAUUAUUAUUAUGCCAAAUUAUUAUUGCAAAUGUGGCACAGAAGCACUUCAGAGCUGGCAUUAAGGUGUCUUAACACACUGUUUAAUGCGGAGAAAUUUACAAAUGUGGCACAGAAACACUUCAGAGCUGGCAUUAAGGUGUCUUAACACUGUUUAAUGCUGAGGUAUUUACAAAUGUGGCACAGAAGCGCUUCAGAGCUGGCAUUAAGGUGUCUUAACACAGUUUAAUGCUGAGGCAUUUACAAAUGUGGCACAGAAGCACUUCAGAGCUGGCAUUUAGGUGUCUUAACACUGUUUAAUGCUGAGGCAUUUACAAAUGUGGCACAGAAGCGCUUCAGAGCUGGCAUUAAGGUGUCUUAACACAGACUGUUUAAUGCGGAGAAAUUUACAAAUGUGGCACAGAAGCACUUCAGAGCUGGCAUUAAGGUGUCUUAACACUGUUUAAUGCUGAGGCAUAUACAAAUGUGGCACAGAAGCGCUUCAGAGCUGGCAUUAAGGUGUCUUAACACUGUUUAAUGCUGAGAAAUUUACAAAUGUGGCACAGAAGCACUUCAGAGCUGGCAUUUAGGUGUCUUAACACAGACUGUUUAAUGCAGAGAAAUUUACAAAUGUGGCACAGAAGCGCUUCAGAGCUGGCAUUAAGGUGUCUUAACACUGUUUAAUGCUGAGGUAUUUACAAAUGUGGCACAGAAGCGCUUCAGAGCUGGCAUUAAGGUGUCUUAACACACUGUUUAAUGCGGAGAAAUUUACAAAUGUGGCACAUAAGCGCUUCAGAGCUGGCAUUAAGGUGUCUUAACACUGUUUAAUGCUGAGGUAUUUACAAAUGUGGCACAGAAGCGCUUCAGAGCUGGCAUUAAGGUGUCUUAACAGAGACUGUUUAAUGCGGAGAAAUUUACAAAUGUGGCACAUAAGCACUUCAGAGCUGGCAUUAAGGUGUCUUAACACUGUUUAAUGCUGAGGUAUUUACAAAUGUGGCACAGAAGCGCUUCAGAGCUGGCAUUAAGGUGUCUUAACACACUGUUUAAUGCGGAGAAAUUUACAAAUGUGGCACAUAAGCGCUUCAGAGCUGGCAUUAAGGUGUCUUAACACUGUUUAAUGCUGAGGUAUUUACAAAUGUGGCACAGAAGCGCUUCAGAGCUGGCAUUAAGGUGUCUUAACAGAGACUGUUUAAUGCGGAGAAAUUUACAAAUGUGGCACAUAAGCACUUCAGAGCUGGCAUUAAGGUGUCUUAACACUGUUUAAUGCUGAGGUAUUUACAAAUGUGGCACAGAAGCGCUUCAGAGCUGGCAUUAAGGUGUCUUAACACUGUUUAAUGCUGAGGUAUUUACAAAUGUGGCACAGAAGUGCUUCAGAGCUGGCAUUUAGGUGUCUUAACACUGUUUAAUGCUGAGGCAUUUACAAAUGUGGCACAGAAGCGCUUCAGAGCUGGCAUUAAGGUGUCUUAACACAGACUGUUUAAUGCGGAGAAAUUUACAAAUGUGGCACAGAAGCACUUCAGAGCUGGCAUUAAGGUGUCUUAACACUGUUUAAUGCUGAGGCAUAUACAAAUGUGGCACAGAAGCGCUUCAGAGCUGGCAUUAAGGUGUCUUAACACUGUUUAAUGCUGAGGCAUUUACAAAUGUGGCACAGAAGCGCUUCAGAGCUGGCAUUUAGGUGUCUUAACACUGUUUAAUGCUGAGGCAUUUACAAAUGUGGCACAGAAGCGCUUCAGAGCUGGCAUUAAGGUGUCUUAACACAGACUGUUUAAUGCGGAGAAAUUUACAAAUGUGGCACAGAAGCACUUCAGAGCUGGCAUUAAGGUGUCUUAACACUGUUUAAUGCUGAGGCAUAUACAAAUGUGGCACAGAAGCGCUUCAGAGCUGGCAUUAAGGUGUCUUAACACUGUUUAAUGCUGAGGUAUUUACAAAUGUGGCACAGAAGCGCUUCAGAGCUGGCAUUAAGGUGUCUUAACACACUGUUUAAUGCUGAGGCAUUUACAAAUGUGGCACAGAAGCGCUUCAGAGCUGGCAUUAAGGUGUCUUAACUAUGUUUAAUGCUGAGGCAUUUACAAAUGUGGCACAGAAGCGCUUCCGAGCUGGCAUUAAGGUGUCUUAACACAGACUGUUUAAUGCGGAGAAAUUUACAAAUGUGGCACAGAAGCACUUCAGAGCUGGCAUUUAGGUGUCUUAACACAGACUGUUUAAUGCAGAGAAAUUUACAAAUGUGGCACAGAAGCGCUUCAGAGCUGGCAUUAAGGUGUCUUAACACUGUUUAAUGCUGAGGUAUUUACAAAUGUGGCACAGAAGCGCUUCAGAGCUGGCAUUAAGGUGUCUUAACACACUGUUUAAUGCGGAGAAAUUUACAAAUGUGGCACAUAAGCGCUUCAGAGCUGGCAUUAAGGUGUCUUAACACUGUUUAAUGCUGAGGUAUUUACAAAUGUGGCACAGAAGCGCUUCAGAGCUGGCAUUAAGGUGUCUUAACAGAGACUGUUUAAUGCGGAGAAAUUUACAAAUGUGGCACAUAAGCACUUCAGAGCUGGCAUUAAGGUGUCUUAACACUGUUUAAUGCUGAGGUAUUUACAAAUGUGGCACAGAAGCGCUUCAGAGCUGGCAUUAAGGUGUCUUAACACUGUUUAAUGCUGAGGUAUUUACAAAUGUGGCACAGAAGCGCUUCAGAGCUGGCAUUAAGGUGUCGUUACACAGACUGUUUAAUGCAGAGACAUUUACAAAUAUGGCUCAGAAGUGCUUCAGAGCUGGCAUUAAGGUGUCUUCACACAGACUUUAUUGAGGUGGCAUUUACACAGCAAUUUCAACUGUAUACUUUGACACUAGGGACUGAGGUGGGUCAGAGCAGGCAUAAUUUGGUCUGGCUUUUAUGCAGCAUUAUGUCUUUACACAGAAUUUUGAGCAGGCACAGAGCAGCCUUAACUCACCUGUGUAAAAAGCCUUUAUUAUUUAAUAUUAUUGAAUCGCUCAAAAGGGUCAGAUUAUCAUUCAUACAAUUUAAACAUGUACUACGUUGCAUUUCUAUCUGAGAGGAAAGUAGCAUUUUCUUUAGCAUUUUCUUUACUUGCCAAAAUCACUCUGUCCCUCACAUUUUAAGUGUUAAUUUUAGACCCUGUGGCCAGUUGCAUAAAAUAAUAACUUUAUAACUAGUCUGACCAACUAGUCAGUCUUACUUUUAUGAUUGAAAAAUAAGAACAAUCUAACUUUUUAUGUAAGUUGACCAGUAUUAAAGUAAAGAAACUGAAGACUAACUAGUCUAAGCCAUUUAUGCGACUGGCGACUGGUUGUU